AUUGAGUGGGGAGUAACGUAGCGAAAGUUGCGCUAAUACCGCAUAUUCUGUGAGCAGGAAAGCAGGGACCGCAAGGCCUUGCGCUCUUUGAGCGGCCGAUGUCAGAUUAGCUAGUUGGUGAGGUAAAGGCUUACCAAGGCGACGAUCUGUAGCGGGUCUGAGAGGAUGACCGUUUCCACACUGGAACUGAGACACGGUCCAGACUCCUACGGGAGGCAGCAGUGGGGAAUUUUGGACAAUGGGGCAACCCUGAUCCAGCCAUGCCGCGUGAGUGAAGAAGGCCUUCGGGUUGUAAAGCUCUUUCGGCCGGGAAGAAAUCGCAUGGGUGAAUACCCUGUGUGGAUGACGGUACCGGAACAAGAAGCACCGGCUAACUACGUG
rnacentral:rRNA from 1 species